GAGUUUGAUCCUGCGCUCAGGACGAACGCUGGCGGCGUGCCUAAUACAUGCAAGUCGAACGAACUCUGGUAUUGAUUGGUGCUUGCAUCAUGAUUUACAUUUGAGUGAGUGGCGAACUGGUGAGUAACACGUGGGAAACCUGCCCAGAAGCGGGGGAUAACACCUGGAAACAGAUGCUAAUACCGCAUAACAACUUGGACCGCAUGGUCCGAGUUUGAAAGAUGGCUUCGGCUAUCACUUUUGGAUGGUCCCGCGGCGUAUUAGCUAGAUGGUAGGGUAACGGCUCACCAUGGCAAUGAUACGUAGCCGACCUGAGAGGGUAAUCGGCCACAUUGGGACUGAGACACGGCCCAAACUCCUACGGGAGGCAGCAGUAGGGAAUCUUCCACAAUGGACGAAAGUCUGAUGGAGCAACGCCGCGUGAGUGAAGAAGGGUUUCGGCUCGUAAAACUCUGUUGUUAAAGAAGAACAUAUCUGAGAGUAACUGUUCAGGUAUUGACGGUAUUUAACCAGAAAGCCACGGCUAACUACGUGCCAGCAGCCGCGGUAAUACGUAGGUGGCAAGCGUUGUCCGGAUUUAUUGGGCGUAAAGCGAGCGCAGGCGGUUUUUUAAGUCUGAUGUGAAAGCCUUCGGCUCAACCGAAGAAGUGCAUCGGAAACUGGGAAACUUGAGUGCAGAAGAGGACAGUGGAACUCCAUGUGUAGCGGUGAAAUGCGUAGAUAUAUGGAAGAACACCAGUGGCGAAGGCGGCUGUCUGGUCUGUAACUGACGCUGAGGCUCGAAAGUAUGGGUAGCAAACAGGAUUAGAUACCCUGGUAGUCCAUACCGUAAACGAUGAAUGCUAAGUGUUGGAGGGUUUCCGCCCUUCAGUGCUGCAGCUAACGCAUUAAGCAUUCCGCCUGGGGAGUACGGCCGCAAGGCUGAAACUCAAAGGAAUUGACGGGGGCCCGCACAAGCGGUGGAGCAUGUGGUUUAAUUCGAAGCUACGCGAAGAACCUUACCAGGUCUUGACAUACUAUGCAAAUCUAAGAGAUUAGACGUUCCCUUCGGGGACAUGGAUACAGGUGGUGCAUGGUUGUCGUCAGCUCGUGUCGUGAGAUGUUGGGUUAAGUCCCGCAACGAGCGCAACCCUUAUUAUCAGUUGCCAGCAUUAAGUUGGGCACUCUGGUGAGACUGCCGGUGACAAACCGGAGGAAGGUGGGGAUGACGUCAAAUCAUCAUGCCCCUUAUGACCUGGGCUACACACGUGCUACAAUGGAUGGUACAACGAGUUGCGAACUCGCGAGAGUAAGCUAAUCUCUUAAAGCCAUUCUCAGUUCGGAUUGUAGGCUGCAACUCGCCUACAUGAAGUCGGAAUCGCUAGUAAUCGCGGAUCAGCAUGCCGCGGUGAAUACGUUCCCGGGCCUUGUACACACCGCCCGUCACACCAUGAGAGUUUGUAACACCCAAAGUCGGUGGGGUAACCUUUUAGGAACCAGCCGCCUAAGGUGGGACAGAUGAUUAGGGUGAAGUCGUAACAAGGUAGCCGUAG
rnacentral:rRNA from 1 species